GUAAUUGCGCAGAAAGAACAAAAGUCCAACUCAGUUCAAUUGUUUUAUUUAAUUACGAAAGAAAUUAUACUGAUAAUAGCUGACAAAUUAGAGGCGAGUAUUUAAUCUCGAGUGAGAAUUAAACAUGGCUGAAAGCAUCAACAGUAUAUGUACAUACACGCACAAUGUGCAUAUUAAUGUACAUACGUAUGCAUUUAUGUAUGUACACAUGUACAUAUACUUUCCCCUUCAGGGGUUUAGGCUAUUUCAAUCACGAGUUGCAUGUAAUGGCUUCAGUUUUGUGAUCAUGUGGGUGACAUUGCAAGAUAAGUGAAAUGAUUUAGCUUCAUGGAACAUUUCAAUGGAGUUGAGAUUAACUUGUUUUUUUUUGCAAAAUAGCCAACUGACAAUAUACACCGCUUAAACCUGGGGGAGGGAGACAUAGUCGCUCACUGCCUGCCUACUGACGUCUGAAGCAUGUGUGUACGCGAGUCGCAUAAUUCUGAAAUUCUUCGUUAUUAUUAUUACAUAAAGCAGAGAGAGGCAAUUUUGUUAAAAAUUUAAUAUAAAUUCGAUUCUCUUUGCUCAAAUUAUUCAGUAAAGUAUCAACUUAAAGUAGGAUUACGUAUGCUAUUUACAGUCUGUGCUAACAGCAUAGCACACAUGCUUCAAAUGGGAUCAAUAUGCACUUAUUGUUGAGAAAUUUAUGAUUUCGGACCCGGCUAGAAGUUUACCACUGCAAACACAACUUGUCUGAAAUUACUUUUCACUCCCACCACUGAAAUUAAAUACUUCUUUCUGUCUCGGUUCAAAUGAAUAAAACGAGAAAAUAUUUG